UGUUCACACAGGAAUGCUGACUCUCUGGGUCAUCAGCCCAUGCCAAAGGCCACUAGGGAGAAAAAAAACCAUAGUUAAGUCCCAGAUGUUUGACCAAAGCCAAAGAGGCUUGCCCCAGGCUGCAUCUCACACACUUUCGUCAAGAUAUUGUGCAAAUUUCUGCCGAUGAAUUCUGUCGUACUCGGAAAGAUGCCACACAGAAAGUCAAGAAAACCAAAGUACUUCAAUGAACCCGAAUAGAAGAUAGAGAUAAAAGGCUUAUCAAAGUAUGGAUUUUUUCCCCUCCUAAUGGUUUCUGAAAACCCAGAACAUUCCUGGUUCACCACAGGUUCUCAAAAGGGCCCAGGAGCCUUGGAGAGAAGCAUGUGUCUCUACUAUAAUGCUGCCCUCUUAUGGAUGCUUGGAAAGUUUGUGGUGAAGAGUGGUGUGAUUAUCAAGCUUUGGUUUGACUCUGUUUAACAAAUCGUCAAACUCUUCUUUGGGGGAAUGGAAAGGGUAGUCUUGAUUGGAGGGUAGUGGUAUCUGGAGGGGAGACAGGAGUGGUAAAGAAAAUAAGACUUAAAAAAGAAGAAUUA